AAUAGAUACCCAGGUAGUCCACGCCGUAAACGAUGAAUGCCAGCCGUUGGGGUGCAUGCACUUCAGUGGCGCAGCUAACGCUUUAAGCAUUCCGGCCUGGGGAGUACGGUCGCAAGAUUAAAACUCAAAGGAAUUGACGGGGGGCCCGCACAAGCGGUGGAGCAUGUGGUUUAAUUCGAAGCAACGCGCAGAACCUUACCAGCUUUUGACAUGUCCGGUUUGAGGAACAGAGAUGUACCUCUUCAGUUCGGCUGGCCGGAACACAGGUGCUGCAUGACUGUCGUCAGCUCGUGUCGUGAGAUGUUGGGUUAAGUCCCGCAACGAGCGCAACCCUGCCCCUAGUUGCCAUCAUUCAGUUGGGAACUCUAGGGGGACUGCCGGUGAUAAGCCGCGGAGGAAGGUGGGGAUGACGUCAAGUCCUCAUGGCCCUUACAGGCUGGGCUACACACGUGCUACAAUGGCGGUGACAAUGGGCAGCGAAAGGGUGACCUCGAGCUAAUCCCAAAAAGCCGUCUCAGUUCAGU
rnacentral:rRNA from 1 species